rnacentral:rRNA from 10 species
GCUGGCCAUACCACCCUGAACACGCCCCAUCUCGUCUGAUCUCGGAAGCUAGGCAGUCGGGCCUGGUUAGUACUUGGAAGGGAGACCGCCUGGGAACACCAGGUGCUGUAAGUG